ACUUUACAAUGCGAGAAAUCGUGAUAAGGGAACCCCGAGUGCCCGUAAAUUCGGGCUGUCCAUCAGUGUAAAUAACUGGUGAAGAAAGGGCCGGGCAAGACCGGUGCCAGCCGCCGCGGUAAUACCGGCGGCUCGAGUGGUGGCCACUAUUACUGGGCUUAAAGCGUCCGUAGCUGGAUUGUUAAGUCUCUUGGGAAAUCCACCGGCCCAACCGAUGGGCGUUCAGGAGAAACUGGCAAUCUAGGGACCGGGAGAGGUGAGAGGUACUCCAGGGGUAGGAGUGAAAUCCUGUAAUCCUUGGGGGACCACCUGUGGCGAAGGCGUCUCACUAGAACGGCUCCGACAGUGAG
rnacentral:rRNA from 1 species